CUCAUAUUGUAGCGUGGAGUACUUUCCUUUGCUUUAGACUAAAUCUUCUUUCAUCUAAUCUAAAUACUUGACUUCAUGUCUUAUAUAUAGUCCUGUUUAUGAAUAUUCAGUAAAUCACACACAGGUAGAAUGGCAUUUUUUUCUUUAUUCUCUAUGUUUAUGAAUAGAUUUUCAGACAUUGAUUUGUAUUGGCCCCACAUAUAUUUGUAU